rnacentral:rRNA from 1 species
UACAACUCCCAAACCCCUGUGAACAUACCAAUUGUUGCCUCGGCGGAUCAGCCCGCUCCCGGUAAAACGGGACGGCCCGCCAGAGGACCCCUAAACUCUGUUUCUAUAUGUAACUUCUGAGUAAAACCAUAAAUAAAUCAAAACUUUCAACAACGGAUCUCUUGGUUCUGGCAUCGAUGAAGAACGCAGCAAAAUGCGAUAAGUAAUGUGAAUUGCAGAAUUCAGUGAAUCAUCGAAUCUUUGAACGCACAUUGCGCCCGCCAGUAUUCUGGCGGGCAUGCCUGUUCGAGCGUCAUUUCAACCCUCAAGCCCAGCUUGGUGUUGGGACUCGCGAGUCAAAUCGCGUUCCCCAAAUUGAUUGGCGGUCACGUCGAGCUUCCAUAGCGUAGUAGUAAAACCCUCGUUACUGGUAAUCGUCGCGGCCACGCCGUUAAACCCCAACUUCUGAAUGUUGACCUCGGAUCAGGUAGGAAUACCCGCUGAACUUAAGCA